rnacentral:tmRNA from 1 species
GGGGCUGAUUCUGGAUUCGACGGGAUUUGCGAAACCCAAGGUGCAUGCCGAGGGGCGGUUGGCCUCGUAAAAAGCCGCAAAAAAUAGUCGCAAACGACGAAAACUACGCUUUAGCAGCUUAAUAACCUGCUUAGAGCCCUCUCUCCCUAGCCUCCUCUCUUAGGACGGGGAUCAAGAGAGGUCAAACCCAAAAGAGAUCGCGUGGAAGCCCUGCCUGGGGUUGAAGCGUUAAAACUUAAUCAGGCUAGUUUGUUAGUGGCGUGUCCGUCCGCAGCUGGCAAGCGAAUGUAAAGACUGACUAAGCAUGUAGUACCGAGGAUGUAGGAAUUUCGGACGCGGGUUCAACUCCCGCCAGCUCCACCA